GAUGAACGCUGGCGGCGUGCUUAACACAUGCAAGUCGAACGGUGAAAGCGGAGCUUGCUCUGCUGGAUCAGUGGCGAACGGGUGAGUAACACGUGAGCAAUCUGCCCCUGACUCUGGGAUAAGCGCUGGAAACGGCGUCUAAUACCGGAUACGAGCUGCGAAGGCAUCUUCAGCAGCUGGAAAGAACUUCGGUCAGGGAUGAGCUCGCGGCCUAUCAGCUAGUUGGUGAGGUAAAGGCUCACCAAGGCGACGACGGGUAGCCGGCCUGAGAGGGUGACCGGCCACACUGGGACUGAGACACGGCCCAGACUCCUACGGGAGGCAGCAGUGGGGAAUAUUGCACAAUGGGCGCAAGCCUGAUGCAGCAACGCCGCGUGAGGGAUGACGGCCUUCGGGUUGUAAACCUCUUUUAGUAGGGAAGGAGCGAAAGUGACGGUACCUGCAGAAAAAGCACCGGCUAACUACGUGCCAGCCGCCGCUGUAA
rnacentral:rRNA from 1 species